GUGAAUCAUCGAAUCUUUGAACACAAAUUGCACUUUCUGGUAUUCCGGAAAGCAUGCCUGUUUGAGAGUCAGUAAAAUAAAAAUCGCUGUUGCUUCUGCUAUUCGUGCUGACGCGUCGAAAUUGAGAUGUCUUACCUUCGGUUAAGUUACUUAAAAUUUCGCAUGAUUUUCUAACGUAUUU
rnacentral:misc_RNA from 1 species